GUUUCCAGCAGCAGAAAACCCGAAAUGGCUGCUGAGCUUGUCUUGGAGAUUUCGGGGUGUGCUGUGUCUACUGAGUGAUGCAGAGGUGCUGAGACACACGCUCCGGGCUGGAAGCAUCUUCCUCAGUACUGGAGAUCGAACUCAUGACCGCCUGCUUGCAAGGCACGUGCUUAUGCCGCUGAGCUAAAUCCCCAGCCCCGAGCACGUUUCUUGUAGCAACACUGCUUUGCUGGAGGAAGCCGCCACCUUCUCCGCACCCGCCUCCUCCAACCCUUUGGGGUUCCCUUUGACACAGGGGAGCCCACAACAGGAGCCCAGCCCUCAGGCUGAUGGGGCAAGAGCCCCUGGAGGGGACCGUGGGGCCCACACCUCCGGCUUCUUGAGCCCUCCCAGUGUAUUCUGCCACUGUGACGCCACCUUGAGGCCUUCAUCGCAUCCAGCUGGCGCUAAGUGAGCCUCAGCGUACUGUCACAGAGCAGAGUGACAGCUUCUCCCAAGCCCUCGCUCUCCCGGGUCCUGAAGGAAAUUCACUCCCAUGCUCAGGACACCGCCUCCACGUGCGUCCCACCGCGUCCUCCGCCUGCUCCUGUCACCCUCGCUCCGUCCAGACACUCCAACAGCUCCACGGCCUUGCCUGCUCUCUACACCCGCUGCAUCCCUGUAUCUCCAGCCUCAUUUUCUGGGUAGUUUUGAGUCUGAGGCUGGGUCUUGCUAAGUUUCCCUGGCUGGCCUUGAACUGCUGCUUCAGCCUCCCAAGUGGGGAUCUUAGCACCUCCAGUGGCUGCGGCCUGAUUUUAAACGCGCUGUCUACAUCAGUCAUCCCCACGGACACAGGAUCUGUCCGGGGCUGCCCUGCGCUACCCCUGGAUGUGGAAACCUCGCUUCCUCUCCAUCACUGGAUCUUGGUGGUCAGUGGAACUGUAUGAAGUCCACUGAGGACAAUGCAGCACGGUGGAUUAUGAUGGUAACCUGCCCAUCCACCCCUUCUGCCCCGGCCUGCACUGGCUAAUCAGACAGCGGAGACCCUGGAUCUCCGUUCCCAAGAACACUGAUGGCCCACAGUGCAUCCACCCCCUCCUUUCCUGUCUCUGUGCGCUGUCACUCGGUGACACACUCCCCUGGCUCAUGCCCUGAGGCCUUCAGGACAGGAUGUGCAGCCCUCCGGGUAACACUCAGCCUCGAGGGUCCGAGGGUCCGGGCAGCCUCUUCUCUUACUGCUCCUCGCUAGGCCCUGGCUCCAGUGUCCCGUCCAGGGUCUUUCACUCCCAGGACUCCUGCCGUGCCCGGCACACACUGACUGCUUGGACAGUGGACGGCGCUGAGGCAGAGCUGCAGGCCUCCCGCAACCUGUUCCCGUGCAGUGGAAAAGCCAGGGCGUCACUGUUCUAGGUUGUCGAGGUGGCCACUACCUUUCGCAGGUUCCUGGUCAGGAGCUGGGGCGGGGGCUUCUGGAGGCAUCUGCUGCUCGGCCACCGGGGCUGCCAGGUCAGGAGCCUCAGCCAUCACUGGCUGAUAGGCGAACGGGUAGAAUGCUUGAGCUUGCUCAAGGGAAUAGCUGGAAAGACAAGUGGUUCACAGUGAUCAUCAAAUUAUCUGAAUGGGAGGUUUUGUCUGUUUUUACAAUAUUAGUGAUCAAAGCCACAGGCUGAGCCACAUCCCUAGCCUUCUUCAAGCUUUUCUCCUGUUGAAGAAGAGUUCAGGGUGUAGCCCAGGCUGGUCUCAAAUGCUCCGUCCUCCUACCCCAUCCCCAGUGCAGGGGUUGCAGCUCUGUACACUGGGGCAGCCUAAAUGCAAGUUUAAAUGGUCAGCUGUAAGAUGACUCCCCAGAUCCCGAUAUCCUGUCAGCAGGCUGUAGUAUCUACCGAGAGGACGUAAUGGUGGAGGAGGUACUAGCUCCUAGGCAAACAGCCUCCCUCUCCCAGUGCUUUAGACAGGACACGGUCCCUGAUGACACCAAGUGUCACCCACAACUCCUGCCCGCUGUGUCAAGUCGGCCUGCUUCUGGGGUUUUCUAGUGGACAGACUUGCAAGGCCCGUCCCCCCGGGCGUUAGCCUGUUCAGAUGCAAUGUGUGUCCCCAGCCUCUGGGAUGUAGUUUUCUGUGGAAAGAUCCCCUUCAACCUACAUCAUGGUUUUCUUUUGAUGCAUUCACCUAUUUUCUUAUGUACUCACUAGACCUGGCUUUUGUUAUUGCUGGCUGUGGUUUGUCACCCAGUGGGGCUAGGAAUGAUUGUUUUCAUAAAAAUCUAUUCAAUUUAUGAGAAAAAAAUCUCUAAGCUCUUCUGAACACUGUUCAAUUCUGUUUAAAGGAAGGAACAUGGGGGCCUUAGAAGAAAACCUUCACACGCUGUCCAGUAAUUGGGAGUCCUUCCCUUAGGCUGCUGCUGCCAGCCCAAAGCCUGGGCAGUGAACAGAGGAAGAGUCCGGAAGAGGGCGCCAUCAUCAGGAAGGAAGCUGGACGCAUCGAGCACGUAGAAGGCACUGGGCAGCCUGUGUCUGCUGCAUGGAGAAAGGUCAGAGGGGCGAGGCCCUGUAGUGAGAUGGUUCAGAGACGGGAGCCAGGACACGACCUCAGUAUGGGUUGUGCAGGCUUGCAUGCUGGAUGCUCCAACGGGAGAAAACACGGCUGAGAACCAGUGAGAACAGCACUGAUCUGUAUCUAGAGAGCCUUACUUUUUGAAUACAUCAUUCUUUUUUUUUCUUUUGGUACAGGGGAUCGAACUCCCAACCUAGCACUUGCCAGGCAGGCGCUUGUGCCACUGAGCUAAAUCCCUGGCCUUGAAUACACCACUCUUAACUUAUGCAAAAAUUAAGAGACAGGGAGUUAAUAAACUACAGUAUACUGACAUGAGAAUACUGGGCUGCUAAUAGAAACUGGUCCCACUGAUCUAAAAGCACGGGAAAGUUUAAUUUUUAUUUUAUUUUGUUUUGCUUUGUUUUGUUUUUGGUACCGGGAACUGAACUCAGGACCUCAAGUUUACUAGGCAGGUGCUAUGUCACUGAAGUCUUAAUGUGUCACCCCCACCUCUUAAUAUAUAUUUUACAGUAAAAAAUAAAUAAAUAAAUAUAUAUAUAUAUAUAUAUAUAAAGUAGCACAUAAGCUAAAGCUGCACAUAGAGAAAAUAUACAGACAUGGGACAGAGGUUAAAUGUUUAAAAAAUACAUUAUUUGCCUAUUUGACACAGGGUCUCACUAUGUAGUUCAGGCCAGCCUCAAACUCACGAUGUAGCCUAGAUUGGCCUUCAACUUGUGAUCCUCCUGCGUCAACUUCCUGAGUGCUAGGAUGACAGGUGUGUGCCACUACUAAAAUGUUAUAGUAAAGGAAAGUGAUGAGCUCAGAACUGUGCUCAGCACAAAGCAAAAUGCCCUCUUUUUGCAGGAUUUUCUUUAGUAGCACUAAUAACUCUCUUAAAUUGUUGAAACACUGGCUAUUCGCUGCUUAUGAUCUAAAUAUUCUAAGGAGAACCUGGAUACAGUUAAGAUCAGACUGCGAGAUCUGGAGGAGUGAUACUCAGAGGAUUCUAAUAAAAUGACCAGGUGCCUUGACCGUGGACAGUGGCAGUUCUGACACCAGCACUGCGAUCACUUUCGGACUGAACACCUAGCAGUGAACCUGACACCCGGUUCCGCUUCAGCCCUGGAACACCCCCAGGUGCUCGUCUGCUCCAAGGCAAGCCUGUGCCUGUGCAAGGUAAUGGCAGGGUGUGACAGCGGAAGACGCUGCUAGAAGAGGCCUGGCUGGAAGACCAUCACUGGGGACGGGGCCUGGAAGGUCUGUCCCCCUCCAGGACUGCUUCCUGGCUGCUGCGAGAGGGGCAUCUGUCCUCCACACCAGGCCACUGCUGCUUGGAGCCUGCCAUCCAUGCCCUGAAACUUCUGGAACGGUGAGGGGAAAUAAACCUCUCGAGUUGCGAGUGUCAGAUAUUUUGUCCUGGCCGGAGAAAGUGACUAAAGCAUGCUCUGGUACCAAGAGGGGGACCACUGUUGAGACCACGUCCAGCCACGUGGUGCAGCAGCCUUCGGCAUUGGUUACCAGGAGGAGUCUGGAAGGUGGGAAGAUGUCUGCUGGAGAAGCCUUCGCAUGCUGUGAGCUGAUGAUGGAGACUCUGGUCAGAAGUCAGAAGAUCAGAAAACAGACAGAAAGGUGGUUGGUCAAGACUGGCUCGGGAGGUUUCAGCUCGGACAGGAAUACCAUUCAGAGCUGGACUCCAGGCCAUGUGGGUUGCGCUCUAGCAGAAAAUUUGUCUACAUGCUGCCCACAUUCUGAGACUUUCUGGAGGACUGAGCUAAAGGGGUGGUGGCCCAAUGAACCUAGGAGAGGAAAUUUCAAGGCAGCCCAAAGUUCGGGCACGGUAUGGAUACUUCUGGCUGCUGUCAGUCAGGUUUUACAGUGUGAAUCAGGAGCAAUGGUAAAACUAAAUGAUUUUAGGGCUUUGUAGUUUCACCAGAAAGGAAGAGCCAACACGUGGGGCCACAGAGAGUACAGCUUCUGAGAUUAACGUUAAAAGAAGCCAAUUGCUUUGCCUAAGUGAAACAGGAACGAGACCCUGAGGACAUCUCAGGAAUCAGCAAGACACUCCGAACCCUACCAAACAUGUGCAGCAGUGGAAGACAGCCCAGGGCACUCUGUUGGAGAAAGGCUGCACAGGAAACUGGUUCCCUGGGAUCUGAGUCAGUGCCCGGCCAUCCAGGCACUUGGAAGCCUCUGUAGCCAAGGUCUAAGAGGGCCUGCUUGGGCUGGUGGCAGACCCUGGCGUGAGCCACAUGGGCAAGCACAAUGCAAGAACUGUAGGGUCAGGGAGGCUUCCACUCACAUUUCAGACGAGGGCCUGGGAGUGUGUGUGGCUGAGUGAAGCCAAAAGCACAGUGGGGACCCAGGAAAGCUGGAGGCAACAGGAGUGGGCUUGUCUCCUGAGGAGAGCCGCACGCAGUCAGGCAGAGGCCAGCCUCAGAGGGAGGUCAUGACAACUGCACUGAGCAUGCGGCAGCGGCAGGGCUUCCCACGCCUUUGGAACCCACAUCCUGCCCCAGCCUGUCCUGGGGUCCUGGACAUGAAACUACAAGCUAGUAUUUGCCCUGCUGGCUUCCAGCCUUGCUUUUGUCCAGUUCCUUUUCAUCCUCCUGUUCUUCCCUCUAGAAUGACAAUGUUUGUGCUGCGCCAGUGUAUGCUCAAAGCGUUUACCUUUGCUUUUUUGAUUUUUACACGGGCUCAUAGCUAAGAGUUUGCCUCUACUCUUGGAGAAGGCUCGACUUUUCAGCAAUGCUGGAACUGUUAACACUUUGGCAAACCUCAGAGACAGACUAAAUGCAUUUUACAUAAAAGAUACACAUGAGUCCUGAGGGGGCCAGGGCCACAAUAUUCUGCUUUAGAUCUAGAAUGACCCCCAAAACUCCCAUGCACUCAUGGGGUGCAGGUGGGGCUCUCUGAAUGUGAUCCUAUCAUGGGGGUGCUGUGGCUAAACAGUGCCACACCAGGAGAGCCUGGUAUGCAGCGACAGACCACCGGGGCGUAACUUAGAAGGUGGUUCUCUGCCCGGGCUCCUCUCUUCUCUUUCCUCCUGCCUGGCUGCCCGGAUGUGGACAGUCCUCCACCUCAGACCCUUCUGCAUGCCGUUUCUGUGUGCCAGUCAGCACUGAAACAUCUAACAUUGUGACACAAAGCAAACCUCUCCCCCUCUCCCUUUAAGUUGUGGGUGGCAGCUACUUUGUCCCAGCGAUGAUAAAGUGACUAAGAUAUACUUGUGUUUUGCAGUUCUGGGGAUCGAAGCCAUGGCUUACCCACACCUCAUGUGAUCACAAUAAAUGAAUGACCUGAAGAACACAGUAGGUUCGCCAGUCUGUCACUGUCACAUGGUCAGGAAGGCAACGCACCUGCUGCUAACCCACAUUUCACACUAACAUUCUCAGUGCCACUUAGAGCACCUGACAAAACCCAGUCCACACUGAGACAGCACUCACAUUAUAAAAGGCUUCUUCACUUUUAAAACUGUCACCUGAAAUGUGGUUCCUUAAUAUAGCUAGGGGCCAUUUAAGUAUCUUUUGAAAGUCUGGAACUCAGAAACUAAAAAUUAAAUCCUAGAAGUCACUGUUGGCAAUUAAGAAGUGAAAAAUAAACAACAAAAAUAAUCUGACCUGCUAUCUCA